rnacentral:rRNA from 1 species
AACGAACGCUGGCGGCAUGCCUAACACAUGCAAGUCGAACGAGACCUUCGGGUCUAGUGGCGCACGGGUGCGUAACGCGUGGGAACCUGCCCUUAGGUUCGGAAUAACUCCCCGAAAGGGGUGCUAAUACCGGAUAAUGUCUUCGGACCAAAGAUUUAUCGCCGUUGGAUGGGCCCGCGUUGGAUUAGCUAGUUGGUAGGGUAAAAGCCUACCAAGGCGACGAUCCAUAGCUGGUCUGAGAGGAUGAUCAGCCACACUGGGACUGAGACACGGCCCAGACUCCUACGGGAGGCAGCAGUGGGGAAUAUUAGACAAUGAGCGAAAGCCUGAUCCAGCAAUGCCGCGUGAGUGAUGAAGGCCUUAGGGUUGUAAAGCUCUUUUACCCGGGAUGAUAAUGACAGUACCGGGAGAAUAAGCACCGGCUAACUCCGUG